AACAGGAAACAGCUUGCUGCUUCUUUUGACGAGUGGCGGACGGGUGAGUAAUGACUGGGAAACUGCCUGAUGGAGGGGGAUAACUACUGGAAACGGUAGCUAAUACCGCAUAACGUCGCAAGACCAAAGAGGGGGACCUUCGGGCCUCUUGCCAUCGGAUGUGCCCAGAUGGGAUUAGCUAGUAGGUGGGGUAACGGCUCACCUAGGCGACGAUCCCUAGCUGGUCUGAGAGGAUGACCAGCCACACUGGAACUGAGACACGGUCCAGACUCCUACGGGAGGCAGCAGUGGGGAAUAUUGCACAAUGGGCGCAAGCCUGAUGCAGCCAUGCCGCGUGUAUGAAGAAGGCCUUCGGGUUGUAAAGUACUUUCAGCGGGGAGGAAGGGAGUAAAGUUAAUACCUUUGCUCAUUGACGUUACCCGCAGAAGAAGCACCGGCUAACUCCGUGCCAGCAGCCGCGGUAAUACGGAGGGUGCAAGCGUUAAUCGGAAUUACUGGGCGUAAAGCGCACGCAGGCGGUUUGUUAAGUCAGAUGUGAAAUCCCCGGGCUCAACCUGGGAACUGCAUCUGAUACUGGCAAGCUUGAGUCUCGUAGAGGGGGGUAGAAUUCCAUGU
rnacentral:rRNA from 1 species